rfam:Culex theileri flavivirus RP-2011 gene for viral polyprotein, genomic RNA, isolate 178
CGCAAUGGGAGGCAUCAUUUCGCCUCCGGGUGCUGACUACUCCCCGUCCCCGUCCCUAGGUCAAGUGAAUGACCCCGUGAUGUUGUGAUGACAUCAU